rnacentral:miRNA from 10 species
UAUUAGGUUGGUGCAAAAGUAAUUGCGGUUUUUGCCAUUACUUUUAAUGGAAAACCACAAUUACUUUUGCACCAAUCUAAUA